rnacentral:lncRNA from 1 species
UCCGCUGAUUACGGAUUUUGCAACUUCAAAACGCUCAUUCUCGAUAUCGCUCCGGAUGAGUAUUACCAAACGUAUCAUCAGAUUGACAAACGCAGGUUACUUAAUUAUACUUCUGAUUUCGAUUCUUGUUUUCUUUUGUUGGUUGUCAAGAGUAGAGUCAUUUUUCUAAGUCUUUUUUAUGGUUACUUGUUGUAGCUCCCAAGCUGGCAGAGGGAAUGACCGGAGGAACGUUUCCAAAUUAGAAUCAAAUCACAAAACCAAAAAUUAAAAAAAAAUCUUAUUUUGUCGGCAAUGUUUUUUAGAUAUUUCAUCUUAUGACAACUAUGUAUUCGGAAAUCUUGCAAAACUGGAUGAUUUAGAUGUGAAAAUAUUCAGCGCUUAAUGAAUUAAAUCCGGUUAACCAGACCAAGCAGAAUUAAAAUGGAAACCGAUAAAUCAGAACAAAACAGAACAUAUCUUUUGGUUUUCAUAUCAAACCAAAUUGAAUUAUAAGAUUUUGCCUUGGAUUUUGGUUUGGUUUCUUAUGCAACUUCCCAAAAGAACUGAUCUGUCCAAACUUAUGAUAUGGCAAAAUAACAUUUUAUUAGUUAUAGCAAACCCAACUUAUUACAUUACGAUCAUCACCAUUCACCAUCAUAACGAUGUGUGGUCUUAUAUAUAG